GACGAACGCUGGCGGCGUGCUUAACACAUGCAAGUCGAACGGAAAGGCCCCUUUUGGGGUACUCGAGUGGCGAACGGGUGAGUAACACGUGAGUAACCUGCCCUUGACUUCGGGAUAACUUCAGGAAACUGGGGCUAAUACCGGCUAGGAAUCCUUGCUGCCUGGUGGGGGUUGGAAAGCUUCGGCGGUUUUGGAUGGACUCGCGGCUUAUCAGCUUGGUGGUGGGGUAGUGGGUUACCUAGGGUUUGACGGGGAGCCGGCCUGAGAGGGCGACCGGCCACAAUGGGGCUUGGAUACGGCCCAGACUCCUACGGGGGGCAGCAGGGGGGAAUUAUGCACAAUGGGCGGAAGCCUGAUGCAGCAACGCCGCGGGCGGGAGUACGGCCUUCGGGUUGGAAACCGCUUUCAGCAGGGGCGAAGCUGGUGGUGACGGUACCUGCAGAAGAAGCACCGGCUAACUACGUG
rnacentral:rRNA from 1 species